GACUUCAGUCAGGUAAGGAAUGCAUUUAAACAUUUGAUCAAGGUGACUUCAGUCAGGUAAGGAAUGCAUUGGACAUGUGAUCAAGGUGACUUCAGUCAGGUAAGGAAUACCUUGGACAUGUGAUCAAGGUGACUUCAGUCAGGUAAAGAAUACCUUGGACAUGUGAUCAAGGUGACUUCAGUCAGGUAAAGAAUACCUUGGACAUGUGAUCAAAGUGACUUCACUCAGGUAAGGAAUACCUUGGACUUGUGACCAAGGUGACUUAAGUCAGGUACUUUGUACCUUCGACACGCGAUCUUAGAGUGCCUUGGACAUGGGAUUGAUGUGACUUCAGUUAGUAAAAGAGGUAAAGGGUAACCGAGAAAUGUCAGAGAUAGUAAAAAUACA